rnacentral:lncRNA from 1 species
CAGAAUACGCAAGUAGAACAUGGAAGACUCCUGGAACAACAACAAAAAUGGAACCAGGACCACGCCACUGCAGUACAAGAACUGAGACAAGACACCACAACAAUGAACGACAACAUCACCACCAUGAUGCGAUUCUGGAACAUUGGGUAAGACCGAUAACCACAUCCAGCUUGGGGGAGUUCCUCCCCGUUUUAUCAAGUAAGUUUUUAUUUACUCUUCUUAUUUAUUCUUUUCUAUUUUAGUGUUUUAUUUAUCUUAUAGAGAAAAACUUAGAAAACCCAAUAAAUAUUUUCUUGCUUUCAAUUACUGCAUUUUAUAAACAUGAAAACAAAAUAAAAAGAGUGUGAAGAUAAGUGUGCUUUAUUUUUCCAACUAAGUUUAAUCUCUAGAAAAAGAAAAAAAUAAAAGACAAAAAAAUGCAUGAUGGAAACGAUGAACAGUUGCUCUGUUUGCUUACUUUCAAGUACCUAGCUUUUAUAUUAGAGUUCUUCCAGGAAUCAUUAAAACUGAAAUUAUUAUCUAUGGGAAACAUAAAACUAAAGUCUAGGUAAGAAAAGGGCAUGAUAUAAAGUUUGAGCUACUGUUUAUCUUAUUUCUACUACACUAAGUUCUGGAGAUUUAUUUUGAAAACUUGCAAAUCACAUGAUGAGUUCCUAGCACAACAAAAUUUCUACCACAACCAUACUUGCUAUAACAUCUUUUACUAUAUUUACAUUGAGUUUGAUCGAGCUAUGUAGACCCUUAGUCAUGUGGUUAAAUUAAGAUAUUCACUUGCACAUAUCCACUACACCAUUCACUAUCAUCCAUUAAAAUUGCUAAAAAUAUUAUCACUCACUGUCCCAAGUGUUGUAAUUCUCUCUCUCUAAAAAGAUUCAAUGCAGAAGAGGCAUGGGUUAUGCAAAAAUAGGCGAGGAAAUAAAAAGGGGCAAGUGCCCGGAACCUCAAAAAAGAAAAAAAAGAGUGAGACGAGAGGUAAAAAUGGACAAGUGUCCGGAGUAGAAUUAGGAGUACAAAGAUGCCCACUUGAGCGGAAAAAAAUAGACAAGUGUCCGACGGUAGAAUUAGGGGUAUCUACUACCCUCCUGAAAAAGAUAGCCCAUGUUCUUCCAAAGCAAAGAUCAAAGAAGAGGAGAGAUAGCAAUAUGAGGAGCAAUGAGAAGUAAGUUUUAUCAUCACUUAUACAUCACUAUCGUUUACUUCACCACACAUGCACAUCUUGAUUUAAUUAUAUGCUGAGUUCCUUUGGAUCCAUGGCUCGAUUAGACAACAUAUGUAUGACCUGUUUUUCACUCCUAUGAGCUCCACUUAAAUAUUCCAUUAGCUAUAGGUAAGUGACAUUUUUGGUAAGGAUCCACAAAUACCACAUAUAGAGAGACUUGAGAGAAUCAUAGCUGGGAACUCUGAGUUUUAUUUUUGAAAACUUAUACAAAACUCCAGAACAAAAGUGAAGUAUAGACAGGAGGAAUAGUGCUUGACUUAAUUAUUUUGUCUUUCGGUUACUUAAGACUUAAGUGCAGGUAUUAAGCUCCAUGACACUUCACUCUAAUCUGGAAGAAUUUUUAUGUGAAAGCAUGUGUGCCUGUCAGAAAAGAAAACAUCGAAGCAACUCCUGAUCCGUCUGAGUUUAGCUGUUUGCUCAGGGACGAGCAAAGGGUAAGCUUGGGGGAGUUUGUUGACGGUCCUUAAGUACUAAAAUUAACCAUCAACUAAACAUGGAAAAGGAUCAAUAUGCACCAAACAUCUAGAAUUAGGGUUUAUCUGACAGAAUUCCACGAGCUUUGGUGUUUAUCUAUUUCUGUAGGGGGUUAUCAGAAAAUAUGGAGAGAAGGCCCACAUGUCAUGUUUACAACGAGAUAAUUACGUGCCGUGCAAUUUUCCUUAAUCUAGAAGAGUCCAGAAGCCACGGGAACGAACGGGAGACCGGACGGGCUCGGGGGCAGGGCGCCCGCCCUCCCCCCUUGGGUGCCCGCCCUGGCCUCGGGGCCAAUCAGAACCAAACUCUUGGAUCGUGAUCCACCGACCUAAAGGAUCAAAGAAAACCAUGCGAUCAAUGUCGGUUUGAUCCGACGGCCCAAAUUCACUUGAAAAGACUAUAUAAUCAAGGCCUCUCCACCCCUGGGGGAGAGAAGAGAAGAGAAGAAAUCAUUAUCAGAGGUAGCCAUCAAAGUUAGGGUUUAGGACUUCUCUCCCACAGAGAAUUAGAAUUAGCUACUCCCUAAUCCUUCAAGUUUAGAGGAUUGAUUAGAUAGAAUUAGAGAAGUAGAGCACUACGCUCUGGAUUCGGAUCUUCGGUAAUAAAGAUUGGUAUUAUUUCAUAUCUUUCUCUAAUACUUUGUUAUAAUUGCAUUAUGUCUCUAUUUAUUAUGCUCUUAGUUUGCUCUAGUUCUAUAUUUGAUAUAGUUAUGAUUGAUAAUGAGUUUAUGUAUAAGUUUGCAAAGCGCUUAGCUCUUGACACGUGGGAGUUAAGUGGUAGAUCACAUGUGGGCGUGGUGCUUAGAUGUUAUUUACCUGCAAAUGUAUCCUAUUGGCCGGGUAGUGUGGUAGUUCGUGAUAGUGACAGCUUCAUUGAUUCUUAUAUAGUCCAACCUCCGUUGAUAGGACUGGCAGAAUUUGUAUUGCGGAGUAAGUCUUGCGAUGCUCUGAUUUACUUUAGCAAUGUUCCUUAUACAUGAAUAAAGAGUCUUUUAUACUAUAUAUGAUCUUGUAGAUAACUAGAGUAGAUUGUGACUUAGUAGAUAGUAGAUAACUUAGAAUCCAUUCUCUAGCUAAUCCGACGUCACCUUACAUAUAUGAGGAGUAGUCUAUUUUCUAAUCGCUGUGUUAUUUACCCAUGAACUUAUAAUCCAUUAUCAUUAUCUUUAUGGUUUACCCCCUGCUAAAGUAAGUGACUGUGUGACGAGUUCCUCAUUAGUAAUCAUGUUCUUGCAAGUUUAUCUCUAGUCUAUGCCUUGAUAGGUUUAUCCUUAUCUUCAUUCAUUUAAUCCUUUUUUCUCCUAAGCAAAAUUAUAAAUAACGAUACCAGGAAUACUUACCUGGUGAAAUGCUACAAUGAGGUGUUUUAUCUGUGCGCUUGCGGAUAGAAUAGAUUAUUUUCUAGAGAGCCUCUAUAUUUAUAAAUAUCUUUAUACACUCUGGCACCAUGCUGGGGAUGACAACCUAGUAUCUAAGUGGUGUUAGCUAGUGUCAACAGCUGUCUAUCACUCUAUUGAGUACUCAUGCUCUGAUGGAACCAAAGAGGACGACGACGACAUUUGGGGCAUCGUUGGUGGGAAGGUAAACAAGAUGCUAUCAUGUCAUAACUCAUUCAUGGUGGAAGAAUUUUGUGUUUUAGUUUUUUUUAGUGGAUAAUUUCAGUGAAAUAUGGCAUAUGUAAAAAGCAACCUGAGAAUAACAGUAUUACAAGAUCUAGAAACAGAAGGGCAAAGUAUACUCAACUUUUGGGGAAACUUACACCUCAUUCAUUGCUAAUGCCUUGCAGAUGCACCAACGGGCUUGUACACAGAAUUUGUUGUCAAGGUUGUAGCGAUGUAAAACAGUUUGGGGAUUACCGGUAGAUGGCUGCAGCAACAGGUUGACAUAUAUAUAAUAACCAUUAUCAAGUAUAAUAGAUUGUUUUAGUUUUAUCAUAUUUUCAAAUUCAUAAGAUAGGUUGUUUAUCAUCUUUGAUGAAUGUGUGUUACCUUAGAUGUCGCCGUAGCGUUAGCACAGGUAAUAUACUAGUAUAUCUAUACUUAUCUAUAAAGAGGGAAAAUUUCAGUCUGCCCCUAAAUUUCUUCUGCCAAUUUGUCUGUGUCCUGUCCGUGUCCGGGUCGUUUGCUGAAAAAGGAGUACCUCUAUACCUAAUUUCAGCUGUUUUUUUGGCCUGAAAAUUUUUUGGUCUGUCUACUUAUAAGGAUAAGGAGAUUGGAUGUAAGAGGAACAGGAAGAAAAGAAUUCUCUCUCAAACCGGACUUUCCCAAAUCAAACUCUAUCAAACCGACCAGCAAAAUCUUGUCCAACAAAAUCCUCGUCCAGCCUCUUCGACAUACAGAAGUUGGAGACUAGAAUCCGUAUCCGUAUGUGAGCCAAAAAUAAUUUAUAAAAACAGGAAAUACUAGAGAGAUCUGAGAACCAAAUCGUAGGCCAUCAUGAUUUAGAUCGAGUCUAGAGCAAAAUACCAAAUCUAGGCUAUCAUAUAAAGAUUAGGAGAGAUCAGAGAACCAAAUCAAGCCCAUCACGGUUUAGAUCAAGACCAAAUAGAGUACAAUACCAAAUCAGAACCAUCAAAUAUACUUUAGAUCGAGACCAAACAUAGCAAACCGAGGCCAUCAACCAUGUAGCACAAAAAAUGAAGUAUAAACAGCCAGGGCCUCACCCGACGUCGUCUGCCACAAGGCCGCUAGCCGGCAACCUCCGCGCCCCCAUGGUUGGUCCCUUGCAGCCAAUGAGCCCGCGACCUCGAACGAUUGGCGGCCGGUGUGUAGAUACACCCUUCACCGGCUCUCCGCAUGCGCGGCACACUCGCGCUGCAGCCGGUUCCCGCUCUAGCUACUAGCGCCUGCGCGAUCGACGGCCAGCAGACCUACGCGGCCUCCGCACCUCGUGACUGUUUUCUCUGCGGGAGAGGGGGCUCGG